rnacentral:rRNA from 1 species
AACGCGAAGAACCUUACCUGGGCUCGAAAUGCAGGAGACCGGGGUAGAAAUAUCCCUUUCUCGCAAGAGACUGCUGUAUAGGUGCUGCAUGGCUGUCGUCAGCUCGUGUCGUGAGAUGUUGGGUUAAGUCCCGCAACGAGCGCAACCCUCAUCCCUAGUUGCCAUCAGGUCAAGCUGGGCACUCUAGUGAAACCGCCCCGGAUAACGGGGAGGAAGGUGGGGAUGACGUCAAGUCCUCAUGGCCUUUAUGUCCAGGGCUACACACGUGCUACAAUGGUCGGUACAAACCGUCGCAAAACUGCAAAGUGGAGCUAAUCGGAAAAAGCCGGCCUCAGUUCGGAUUGGAGUCUGCAACUCGACUCCAUGAAGCUGGAAUCGCUAGUAAUCGCAGAUCAGAACGCUGCGGUGAAUACGUUCCCGGGCCUUGUA